UACGUAGGAGGCAAGCGUUGUCCGGAAUUACUGGGUGUAAAGCGCGUGUAGGCGGCAGGCCAAGUCUGUGGUGAAAUCGCUCGGCUCAACUGGGCGGGGUCCAUGGAAACUGGUCAGCUGGAGGACGGUAGAGGUGAGUGGAAUUCCCGGUGUAGUGGUGAAAUGCGUAGAGAUCGGGAGGAACACCCGUGGCGAAGGCGGCUCACUGGGCCGGUCCUGACGCUGAGACGCGAAGGCGUGGGGAGCGAACAGG
rnacentral:rRNA from 1 species